rnacentral:rRNA from 1 species
GGCGCAAGCCUGAUGCAGCGACGCCGCGUGAGGGAUGACGGCCUUCGGGUUGUAAACCUCUUUCAGUAGGGAAGAAGCGAAAGUGACGGUACCUGCAGAAGAAGCACCGGCUAACUACGUGCCAGCAGCCGCGGUAAUACGUAGGGUGCGAGCGUUAUCCGGAAUUAUUGGGCGUAAAGAGCUCGUAGGCGGUUUGUCGCGUCUGUCGUGAAAGUCCGGGGCUUAACCCCGGAUCUGCGGUGGGUACGGGCAGACUAGAGUGCAGUAGGGGAGACUGGAAUUCCUGGUGUAGCGGUGGAAUGCGCAGAUAUCAGGAGGAACACCGAUGGCGAAGGCAGGUCUCUGGGCUGUAACUGACGCUGAGGAGCGAAAGCAUGGGGAGCGAACAGGAUUAGAUACCCUGGUAGUCCAUGCCGUAAACGUUGGGCACUAGGUGUGGGGACCAUUCCACGGUUUCCGCGCCGCAGCUAACGCAUUAAGUGCCCCGCCUGGGGAGUACGGCCGCAAGGCUAAAACUCAAAGGAAUUGACGGGGGCCCGCACAAGCGGCGGAGCAUGCGGAUUAAUUCGAUGCAACGCGAAGAACCUUACCAAGGCUUGACAUGUUCUCGAUCGCCGUGGAGAUACGGUUUCCCCU